rnacentral:rRNA from 1 species
UACGGGAGGCAGCAGUGGGGAAUAUUGCACAAUGGGCGCAAGCCUGAUGCAGCCAUGCCGCGUGUAUGAAGAAGGCCUUCGGGUUGUAAAGUACUUUCAGUCGUGAGGAAGGUGUUAAGGUUAAUAACCUUAGCAAUUGACGUUAGCGACAGAAGAAGCACCGGCUAACUCCGUGCCAGCAGCCGCGGUAAUACGGAGGGUGCGAGCGUUAAUCGGAAUUACUGGGCGUAAAGGGCACGCAGGCGGUUAAUUAAGUUGGAUGUGAAAUCCCCGGGCUUAACCUGGGAAUGGCAUUCAAGACUGGUUAGCUAGAGUCUUGUAGAGGGGGUAGAAUUCCAUGUGUAGCGGUGAAAUGCGUAGAGAUGUGGAGGAAUACCGGUGGCGAAGGGCGGCCCCUGGACAAAGACUGACGCUCAUGUGCGAAAGCGUGGGGAGCAAACAGGGAUUAGAUACC